rnacentral:rRNA from 1 species
GAUGAACGCUGGCGGCGUGCCUAAUACAUGCAAGUCGAGCGAACAGACGAGGAGCUUGCUCCUCUGACGUUAGCGGCGGACGGGUGAGUAACACGUGGAUAACCUACCUAUAAGACUGGGAUAACUUCGGGAAACCGGAGCUAAUACCGGAUAAUAUAUUGAACCGCAUGGUUCAAUAGUGAAAGACGGUUUUGCUGUCACUAAUAGAUGGAUCCGCGCCGCAUUAGCUAGUUGGUAAGGUAACGGCUUACCAAGGCAACGACGCGUAGCCGACCUGAGAGGGUGAUCGGCCACACUGGAACUGAGACACGGUCCAGACUCCUACGGGAGGAAGCAGUAGGGAAUCUUCCGCAAUGGGCGAAAGCCUGACGGAGCAACGCCGCGUGAGUGAUGAAGGUCUUCGGAUCGUAAAACUCUGUUAUUAGGAAAGAACAAAUGUGUAAGUAACUAUGCACGUCUUGACGGUACCUAAUCAGAAAGCCACGGCUAACUACGUG